ACCUUGUACCCACAGCUUCACCCAGUCGCCGAAUCAUCUCAAAACAUUGUCGCCCUCCUUACAGUUGAGCUAACUACUUCUGAAGUAAAACCCCACUCCCAUAGUGACAGGCGGUGUCAGCUCAGACCAGAACGUAUUCACCGCGACAUGCAGAUGCACGAUUACUGCUGAUUCCGACUUCACGCAGUCAGGUGCAGGCUUCCUGAUCCGGACUACGAUCGGGUUUCUGGAAUUCAGCGGCUCCCCCCUCGCAGGUUGGCGACCCUCUGUCCCGACCGAUGUACUGGCGUGUGGAAGCCCUACCGCAAGGGCUGCGGACUUGACCGUCAUCCCCACCUUCUCCGGUUUGCCUGCAGCGGUCUAGUAGAGUGCCCUUCGUAGCAACUAAUAGCCGAGUUUUGCUCGUUGCGGGACUUAACUAACAUCUCCACGUGCAGGCGGCGUGUAUUGCAGCAUAUGUUCUGGGUUCUCUUUGCGACACCCAAAUCUCUUCGGGAUUCCAGACAUGUCAAGGGUAGGUAAGGUUUUCGCGUUGCAUCAUUCAUCCAUCAUCCACCACCGCUUGUGUGGGUCCCCGUCAAUUCCUUUGAGUUUUGGCUCCCGACCGUACUCCCCAGGCGGUCCUUCACGGUAGCUGCUGCGAGGCGGCCCCAACAGCUAGUUGGUAUCGUUGGGCAUGAAUACCAAGGUAUCUAAUCCUGUUUGCUCCCAUAUGACAUGACGUCGGUGUUAUCCCAGGAGGCUGCCUUCGCCAUCAGUGUUCCUCCGCAUAUCUACGCAUUUCACUGCUACACGCGGAAUUCACCUCCCUCUGACACUCUAGCUCGGCCGUUAAAGUAGUUCCAAAGUUAAGCUCUGGGAUUUCAUCUUUCUUUCCGAACCGCCUGCGCACGCUUUACGCCCAGUAAUUCCAGUUAACGCUUGCACCUACUGUUACCGCAGCUGCUGUGGCACGUGAUUAGCCGUGCCCAUUCUCACCUGGUACCGUCAGUUGCACGGACUAUUAUCCGUGCCGUUUCUUUCCUGCCAAAAACCUUUACAACCAGGAAGCCCCCUUCCAUCACCCUUUUUGCGGGAUGGCUGGAUCAGGGUUUCCCCAUUGUCCAAAAUUCCCCACUGCUCCCGUAGGAGUCUGAAGCCGUAUCUCCAGUCCCAGUGUGGCUGGUCGUCCUCUCAAACCGGCUAUGGAUCGUCGCUAACCGGUGACCGUUACCCACCAUUAAGCUGAGCUCCGAUAUCGGCCCGCUCUAAUAGUGCGAGGCCCGAAAUUCCCCGCUUCCCCGAGGCGCGUACGUAUUAACAGCCGCUUUCGCGCGUAGUUAUCCCCACUUCACUACAGGCACGUUCCGAUACAUUACUCACCCGUUUCGCCACUCGCCACCAGACUGAAGUCCGUGCUGCCGUUCGACUUGCAUGUAUGGCAGGCAUCCCGCCAGCGUUUAAUCUGAGCCAUAAUCAGAC
rnacentral:rRNA from 1 species